rnacentral:rRNA from 1 species
GACGAACGCUGGCGGCGUGCUUAACACAUGCAAGUCGAACGGUGUCACCCCCUUGGGGGUGGCGCAGUGGCGAACGGGUGAGUAACACGUGGGCAAUCUGCCCUGCACUUCGGGACAAGC